rnacentral:misc_RNA from 1 species
UUUUUUUUUUUUUUUUGUUUUUCUGAAGAUGGAAAAGAAAAUGUUAGCACAUAGAGUAAAUGAGAGCAAAGAAUGGUGCUUUUUAGAGUAGUGAAAAUUGUUAUAUAGUAUUUACUUUUUAGGAGGAAAAUCAUGAGAUAUAAUACAUUUUUAUAAUUUUUAAAACUAAGCAAAUAUAAUAGUCAAGAGUUUUAAAUUAAUAAUUAUAUAAUUGCAUAGAAGAAACUAACAUAACAUAGUUAACAAAGGAAUGACGAAUUUGCAGAACUGUCCAUGAAUUUCCACUCUGAUACCAGAUUGUUACAGGCCUGUGUUUGGGAUCAAGUCACAGGUAUUCUUUAUUGUUCUUCUUUCUUCAUGGCUUAUGAUGAAAGUAGUCUAACCCUAUGAUAUUUUACAAUGAAAAAAACUCUGAAAUUGCUCUCAUUUACUGAUGUGCAUAUAGAUACAUAAAUGAGGGUUGAGUGAGUCCUCAACCUAAUCUUUAUGUUACACCAUAUUAGAGUUGUCAUUACUAUUUUUAUCCUUUUCCUUAUUUCCUAGGAUAAUAAAUAAAUAAACUGAAAAUAACAAUUAAGCUAAACUGAAAUAGCAACUAAUAACAGAAAAAUAAAUCAUUCCUACAUUAGACUUAAACUGAAAAUUAAAUGGCCUGACUUCCUUUAUGUUUCCUAUGCCUAAAUCGCCAAUAUGUCUUGCUUGUAAAUGGGUCCCUUGAUUUGCUAUUUGUAACACAAAGCCUCUUUGAUCAAAAGUCCUAGAAUUGAAUCUUGAAGAAGGCUUUGCAUGAGUGCACAUUUCAGGGAUAUACAGUAUCUUUUCAAGCCUCAUAAGAUAAUUCUAAUAAGGAUAAUGCUUGAUCAAGGGUACUAAAUCUGCUGAGUGCCUCAUGAAGUAAUUGCCAAAACCAUUAGGAAGGAUUGACAGACAUCAAGGUUCAUUUUGAGGAGACAGAUAAUUAACAGUCAUGAGAUAAUCCUUACUGCAUUAGAAUAUUCGGGUUCUUUGCCAUUCAGUUGCUUAUAAAAUUCUGGUUCCUUAUUGCAAGUCAAAGAGUCUACUUCAUAACUUUCUGUGUUAGUGAAUCGUGAUAGUGAGCAAACAUUUACUAUCAAAAUAGCCGAUAUCAUUGUUUAUGAGUAAGGAAGAUGCAGAUCAAUUCCCAACCAAAAAUGUAAACACACCAGUAAUGAAGCUGAAAUUUAAUUUGCCACCCUAUUCAAACACUGAAAAAUAUCUCUCAAAAUGGUUAUACAUCACAAAAGCCAGCACAUAUUUACCUCCGAUCCUAUGUUGCUCUUACCAUAAGUAUGAAUUAAUAGUAACCUCCACGUUGCAACGCAUAGCACACCUCAAUUGAGAUAUAGGCUUAUCCACACUUUCAAGUUCUAUAGUGAACUGAAUGAAAAUUGAUAUAAGUCAUGGAAGAAUUAUAGAAAGAGGGAAAUACCUGUUCUAAAGCUUCAGCCAACUCAUCUCUGGUUGGGGCAUCAGGGUCUUCAAUGCCAAGUAGCCUCCUUCGCUCAACUUCUCUUGGAUCCUCAAUCAUUAUCGUUAAUUUAACCUCAUUAAAUAACAUGUCUCUAUUUUUCUUGAGAAGCUCCAAGACCCUUUUGAUUUCUUGAAUGUAUUGGAGGUCUUGAGGGCUGGGUGGUGAUCCCUCUUCUUCUAUCUCCUCAUCUUCUUCUUCUUCUUCAUCUGGGACACGCAGUUCAAUGUCUUCUCUACCAACCAACAAGCCAAUAGUCUUCCUUCUUCCCAAGCUACUGUUGCUUGUACUGUGGUUUAGGCAAAGGCUACCCAAUCUUCUUCUUGAAGGUGCAUAUCGGUGGCGGUACAAGAUGAGAGAAUGGGCGUCUACAGAAGAUGAAGAAGAAGAUAACGAGGAAGCCAAUGUCAGUUGGAAAAGUUGCAGAGCCAUUGUGACCACUACC